CCCACGUGUUCAAGAUGUUUGUGGUGCUUUUUCUCUUUCUCAUAAUCUUCACCAGUUUUGCCUUCAUCAGUAGUCUCUUCAAAAUUAGUGGUCUCAGAUGAGUAGGCAGCUCCUUUUCCAUAGGUAUCUCCUUCACCAUAAUUAGUUUUCUCUCCAUAGGUAGUUUCAGAUGGAACAUCUCCAUAGCCACUCUUGUUUUCAUAGCCACUCUCUCCAUAACUAGUCUUAUUUUCAUAGCCACUAUCUCCAUAGCCACUCUUGUUUUCAUAGCCACUAUCUCCAUAGCCACUCUUGUUUUCAUAGCCACUAUCUCCAUAACCAGUCUUAUUUUCAUAGCCACUAUCUCCAUCGCUAGUCUUAUUUUCAUAGCCACUAUCUCCAUAGUUACCUCCCUCACCAUAACUAGUUUUCUCUACAUAUCCACUUUCUCCAUAGUCAGUUUUCUCACCAUAUUUGUUAUCCCCAUAGUUAUCUCCCCCACCAUAACUAGUUUUCUCACCAUAUGUAUUCUCUCCGUAGGUAGUUUUUUCAGUAUCACCACCAUAUGGAGUUUCUCCAUAGGUAGUUUUGUCUUCCUCCUUGUCCUUGUGGUGGAAGAGACCGAAGUGGUGCUUCUUCUCUUCAGCCAUUUUGGUGAUAAAUGUGAUGGUUGACGAGUUUUGAAAAAAGUAGUAGUACGUACAAUAUACUUGGGUGCUGUUGGGAUGUUUUCUCUUGUUAAUAUUGAGUGGUAUUUAUAACUACUGUUGGUUAUAACUAGCUAGCCUAUGAGUUUGGAACUUGAGUUAGUUGAUGUGAGGACGACUAAUUUGUUUGUCCAGUGACCGUGUGUACGAGUUUUAUCCAAUGUUCGCACCUCUUUAAUUUGCAUGAAGGAAGUUUGUUACGUAGAUUUUUCAAUCCAUGUGGCGAAAAUCGACGAAUGCUUAAUUGUUAUGCCGACAUGAUACAUGACUCGCAUGCAUAUUCAUUUAUUGAGUUUUAGUGAGACAAACUUUAUUUCCGUCAUUAACUGCUUUAACUACGUAUGAUAUAUACGAUACGAAUAAUUAUAAACCUCUUUGCUGCGCAUUUUUUCUAGCUAACAUUAAGAAUUAGAUCAGACACUAUCAUGCAACAAAGAAAAGGAAGUGGCGAUAGAAACAACAAAAAAAGAUAAUGACAAUUGAGGAAUGGGUAACGAGUUUAUGUAUACCACCCACGUAACCUUCAAAACUCAAAUAUCGUGGGAGGAUUUAUGUUUAGUCUUUAGAAUACAAUUAAACUUCUAAAAUCGUCCAAAAAGGGAAAAGAAGGGGAAAAAGACUAAACAAAUUACCAUUUUCCUAUGUUUUGAAUUAAGUAUCAUAUGUAUAUAAGUUUUUUUCGGAAAUAUAGGGUUUAGUCCUAAUCCUAUAUGUCUGUGCCUUUGGCCUCAAAAUACUCUAGUCAGCCUCAACUUUUGUGUGUGUCGAUUGUCAAAACUAUACCUAUCUCAAUUCUUAGUUUACCCAAUGAACUGAGGCCCCAUGUCAUAUUGUUCAUUCUCCAAAUAUCUGGUUUUAAACGUGACGUGCGAGAGAAUGUGUGUCGAUUAAUUAGAACGUUCCACAUUAGUAAUCGAAUAUUGUCUUGAGUAAUCCUUACAACAUGAUCGUCAAGUUUUUUAGAUGAAUUUAUUAGUCCCAAUAUCCAUCUUCUUAACAAUGUCCUACAUAGUUAGGCUGAAAAUUAACUCAAUGUAGGCUUAAUUAUAAGUAGGCAAGUAGUCCAUAUUCAAAUGGAUGUCACCUUCACGGCUUCUCCAUUGAAGACCGGAAGGUUGAGGAGCUAUCUACAUAUAUACACACUGUCAGGAUUGCAUGCAACCCUAUAUACUUAAUUAUGUGAAAAUCUAAAUAUGCUUAAUUAUGUGAAAAUGUACAUAUUUUAAUUUCCCAACCUUCUUCUUUAAGAUAUAUAAAUUCAUACGGUGAUUAAAAGAUAUUUGAAACAUCGUAUAUUAGCUUUCAGAAAUAUGGAGUCUUUGGUUCAAAAAUACACGUGUGUUCCGAGCAUUUGCUAUACACUUGACCAAUAGCGAGGUUACUACUCACUCCGUUAUGUAAUCUAUUUCCUUUUUGGUCCGUUAAAAAAAAAAAGACCUUUUUCUAAAUUUGGAAACAAUUUUGGUAAACUUAAAAUUCUACCCUUAAUGAGAAGCUUUUAUAACCACACAAAUACUCUGGACCCUUUUUUUGACUUGUUUAGGACCACAAUUUGCAAAAGUCUUCAUUUUUUCUUAAACUCCGUGCUCAGUCAAACAGAUUUACAUAAAUUGGAACGGAGGGAGUACAAUUUUUUUGAAUUCAGAUAAUCUUUAUCAAUUGUCAUAUUAACAUGUGACUAUUUUGGUAAAUUUUGCUGAAUUAAUGUUAAUGCAUGACUAAGUUGAAAUUAAAUACAACCAUUAAUUAAACUGGUCUAUGCUUACAAGUUUGAACAACAUGACCCUUAACCUAAGCUUUAAUGGGUAUAAUUAUUAAUGAUUGAUACUUUUAUUAGUGGAAGAAUGCGAGUGCAAUAGUUAAGAUGCACAGCACUGUAUGUUAUCAAGAAAGAAAAUUGAGCAACAUAACUUUUUCCUUUCUAAAAAUUUGUAAACUUCCACGAGUGCCACGUUAUAUGUAGAUUUAUGACCCCAUUAGAAGCACAAAAUAAAAAUAUAUAUACUAUCUCAUUAAAAGCAGAAAAUAAAAGGAACAAAAAAAUCAAAAUCAUCAAUAGCAAUUUAUUUCAUUAUCCAUUCUAAUGGAAUUAAAAACAUCGCUAGCUAAUUAACUUUAUUGGCUUCGAUACAAUACACUGAAAACUAUUACGAUCUCCAAAAUAAAAAAAAGAAGUAAAAGUUGGAAAUCACAAAUGGAGAUCUUGAGUAUCUUUGAACCGAAAUCCCAACUCAUCUUCCACAUGAAUUGCUUGAUAGUAAUCUUUUUCAUAACUAUACGAUAUUAAAGUAUGGAUAGCAAUAAAAAGGGUCGGCAUUGCCAUUAUGAUUAGGACCCAUAUUUUGGCAUCUGUUGAAUUUUGAGGAGUGUCGGCAAACUUUUUAGGUAUAUUCAGUCGAACAGUUUCUUUGCUUGCCUUUUAUUUGUUGGUUUAUUGUCUUUGUCCUUCCAACUGCCAUUCUAAUAUCUGAAAACGGAAAAGAGAGGAAAUGGUAUUCUUUUUUUUAUCCCAUCAAAAUGAUCAUUAGUGUUUGCACUUAUUUUUUCACUUACUCGAACCUUUAACCUAUUGGUCAAUGAUGGAGGUGCUCAAAUAUUAAAGCAACUCUCACUUGUCUAAAUUAUUUAUCAUUUUUUUAAUACUUUUUCUAAGGAUCUUAUAUUCGGACUACUAAUUCGAUUAAUUUAAAUUUAUAUUAGUUGAUCCACGAAAGAAGUGAAGCGUUUCUUAAUAAGAGCAUCUAUAUUCUUAAGGUUUGAUUAAAAUUAAUAUGACUGGCUGAUUUGAGAACCUACUAAGUUAGAGUAACAACAAAAGAAUUUAUAGUGGAAAAAGAAGAUUUUCAUGAUGGAAAAAAAGAAGAAUAUUUUCAUGACCUUAUAGGAAACAUGUUCUAUUUUUAACUGUUAAGAUAAAGUUAUACUGAAACAAGAUUGUUUUUUUAUAAAUCGAUUUUCCAAAUUAAGAGACAAGCAUCGAACUAUCGAAGUAAUAUUUGAUCAAGAAAAUGUUUGCUAAAAGUAUGUUUCACAUCUCACCAAAUUGACCCUUCUGUAUCUCACUCUCUUCCUCGACUCUUGUUAUUUAGUGAUUUUUUUAAUACUUGCAUUUUCCAAAUUAGACAUUUUAAAAAAAAAUCUUCUUUACAUCAGUGGUUUAUAACGAGCCGACCAAAAUAGCUGGAGGGACAAAAGAGGAAGCCACCUCAUUUCUGUGGGAUUUAAGUUAUAUAUAUACUUAGUAUAAUUUAACGUACUACCUUAUUACUGCAAUUUAUAUUAGGUGACUAAUAAAUACUAUUAUUAAAUAAAAUUGCAUGCAAUUACUGACCUGAUUUUUAAGUAAUUUUUACACAAUUAGUGUAUACAGUAAUUGAACUUAAACUCAUUUAUGUUUACUAGAGUUGGUUCUUGUUUAAUUUGGAGCCACUUUUAGGAGCUUAAAGGAAACAAAAACAAGGAUUUAAAUAUAUAGCGUGUACAAAAUAAUGUCAAGAAUAAAAUACAUAUACUAAGACUGGUGAUUUUCAUCGUUCAUGCAUAAAAGUUGUUGUUUAAUGCAGGGUCCGAGUUAGAAGUCUGGCUACAUUUGGCAAAACUCCGUAUCUUUUGCUCAAGCAGUGUAUUUGAGUUAAAAUUUUCGCUAAGUAUAUAUAAAUAUUAAAUUUAGAACCCAAUUAUUAAUAUUUAAAAUCGUCGUUUUAAAAUCCAGAACCUAUAAAAUUGAAAUUUUGACUCCGCCUCUGAUUUAACGUUGGAAACUAUUUUCUUGUGUCCUUUUUUUAUUCUUCCAUUCAUUGUUUAUCUUCUUCUUAGUAGGUUUGUAUAAAUUAGCAUUAUAAUUAGGGACGGAUAACUGAACCCUCAGAUCGAGGGAUGAAAAUUUCUGCCCUCUUAGUUAUCCUAAAUCCUAAUUAGCACUACUACUAUUUCCACCAACCCUCUGGACUUCCACUCUUUCUUACAAUUUAUUAAAAUUAUAGGACUACAGUAUGCGUAUGUGUAAAUAGUUACGGUAAAGAUAUUUUAAAAUAUAUAGAGUAAUACAUUCACAGCUCUAAAAUUUUGGAUUAUUAUAUAUGUAUUUAAGGUAAAAAUUUAGGUCGAUUUUCAAAUUUAGGUGAAGUUCAAUGAAAAUUUUAAGAAGAUAAACCUCUUUGAUCAAGUCGCAAAGUCCACAUGCAUAUGUGAUGUUCGGAGAAAGUGAUAGAUACCUGAUAUUUACAGUUUUUAUUUUCUUUUUCUUUUUGUGAGGGUGUAACUUAGGUAUUAAAAACCAAAAAUGUUGGUAUAACAUUAAUUUUCUUUCUCUUCGUUUACGAAAUUAUAUAACUAUUUUUCUUACGAGUUAUGCUUUAGUUUGAAUUUUAUCAUCACCUUCAUCCUAUUAAAAAAAUAAUUAUAAAUCAAAUAGCAUAAUUAAGGGCACAAGUCCUAACAAUCUGAAAUAAAUGUAUCAUCAUCUUGAUGGGAUAAGCUCGUUAGAUGUGCUCAUAUCCCGUUCUAAGUCGUUGACAAACUAAAUUGAUAUAUUGAAAUCUUGUUAAUUAAAUGCUUUUCCAUAUAUNNNNNNNNNNNNNNNNNNNNNNNNNNNNNNNNNNNNNNNNNNNNNNNNNNNNNNNNNNNNNNNNNNNNNNNNNNNNNNNNNNNNNNNNNNNNNNNNNNNNNNNNNNNNNNNNNNNNNNNNNNAAUUGAUGAAAUGGCCCGACAUUGAACAAGAUCGACAAAGUAAGACUAGAUACCAAAAAACAAACCAAAUAGUAAUUAGUAGGUAAAAGAUAAGUUACCACGACGAAUGGAAUGUUACGUGUAGUAUUUUAGUAUGUAAUACGGAAGAUAUAGUGGCCAAAAACUGCAUCUUAUUAUCCCAAAAGAAAAGGAGAAAGUAUAUUUAUUGUGAAUAUUAUUAUCAUUAUGAUUCAAUUAACCACAAUAUUUAUGAUAAAGAAGUGGAAGAAUAUCCAUUGUGAUAUCCGCACCAACACAAGUUAGUUGAUAUAUACAUAUGGAGCGUUGAGUGUCGACAAUUAGUGGGGGUGGGCUUCUGAUGUGAAAUGUGAAUCACAAGAAUCCCUCAUAUAAUUCACUUCUUUAUUAUCUUUAGAGAGAAAUUAAAGCAGCUGAGUCAAAUGGUCCUUUGAAUUAUUACUUGAUUGGACCUUUCGUCAUCAUUGGGUCCAUUUAAUUGAACGUGUCGGCAAGUCUUGAUUCUAGUCGUUCGAUUCAAUCCCAAACCAUAUCCUUUUUCUUUUCAAAUAUGCUAGUAUUACAUUGAGUGAUCUCAAAAAAAAAAAAAAUAAAAAAAAAAAAAUUUACACUAACGAAUAUUAGAUUUGUCUUUUAUGAAUACACACAACACUAAUCAGUGAGAAAAUGGAGAUGCUUGACAAAUUAAAAUGAGGAUGAAGGAGAUCUAAUCAACUUGAAAUUAGUUCAAAAAAUUUCACUCUGAUUUACUUGCAAAGGAGGAAUUUAAAAGAAGUGUUAUACUAAAUUACUACUCUCUCCGUCCCAAUUUAUAUGGCGAUAUUUGACUCGGCACAAAAUUUAACAAGAAAAAAAAAAGAUAACUUGUGGUCUAAAAUAAGUUAGAGAUAUUUGUGUGCCUAUAAAGUAUCUAAAGAUAAAAUAGAAAAUUUAAUGUUGAAUUAUUUUUAAAAUAAAGAAGUAUUACAUUAUUUUUGCAAAAGACAAAAAAAAAAAUGCUAUUGUUUACCUAGCUUAUCCUCUCAUGUCUAUUUUGCUAUCUUACUAGCUAGCGGAUAUGUGGUGGUGGUGGUGGUGGUGGGGUUGGGGGGUGGGGGUUACGACCCACCAACUGACAUUUUCUUCUACUAACUCUUGUAAUAUUGUGGUUCAACUUGGCAGUUUAAACGCUCUACGUAGCACAUAUAUGCAUGCACUGAUACUAAUUCAGUUUAAUACUAAUAUUGUAUAUCGUCUCUCUACAAAAUAGCAAAAACUUACCUUGACCUAAAAAAAUAUCGUCUCUCUAAAAAAUAACAAAAGCUUACCUUUACCUCAAUAUAGCAUCAGAUUAGUGUGUCAUACUCCCGUUCAUUUUGCUUAGUACCUUACAUGAGCCAAAACCUGAUCAUCAUGUAGACCUCGUUUGUUUUCACUUACUUAACGUCUGGAUCUGAAUCCUUUAGGCACGUCAAUUCUAGAGUUUGUGUUUGUUCUAUAUAUUUGUAAAUGAUUUUUCGUUACUAUGUGCUGGAAAUUAAACAAGAUUAACUAGUAUUCUAACAUCGUCUAGGAUUUGGUAUUUACUAGUUUAUUUAAUUUAUGUCUAAUUAGGAUUCACAACCAAAAUCACGUAGGAAUAUAUUUUUCUAGAUUCUAGUCAAAUUUGGAUUGUAGUAUUAUAAAUGUGGAUGCUACAACAUAUUUUCUAUUGUAGAGAGGUAACUACAAUUAGUGGCGAAACUAGAAAUUUUUCCAAGGGUAUUCAAAUUUGAAAGAAGUGAAAAAAGAUUCCCUACAAAAGGGUGUUCAAUAUGUGUUAUAUACCUCUCAAACGUAAUAUUUUACCUUAUACACAGUGCAAUUUUUUGACGAAGGAUGGUCAAGUGACCACCAUUGUGAAUAUGUGGCUUCGCCACUGACUACGAUGUAAAGAGAUUCAAGAGUUUAUGUCACGCCCCGAACCUGGGCCUGGACGUAACACGACACCCGGUGCCUGACUACAUGUGGCCGAGCGAACCAACUGGCUGGCUGAAUCAACAUGUGAUAUCAUAACAUACUGAAUGCGGAAGAUAAACUAACACAUGAUGAUAUAAUGAAAGUCUGAAUUAUGUAGCCAAAAUUACUUAACAUGAAAAGCCUACGACUCUGUCUAACUAUUACUCUAGUCUAUGAAGUCUCUAAUGAAGUACUGAAAACAUCGACUGUCUGAAAAUACUGAAGAUUGUAAGGUAAUGAUAAUGCCCUGAAAGAACUGGGGAUCACCAAUUUGAAUUACACUGGUAUGUAAAGAAACUAAAAGAAAGAACUGUAAAUGCUGAAACUGAAACUGAGCCGAUAAUUGAGAACUGAUAACUGA
rnacentral:lncRNA from 1 species